GAUGAACGCUGGCGGCGUGCCUAACACAUGCAAGUCGGGCGAAGCGCUUAAAUUAGCUUUCUUCGGAAUGACGAUUUUUGUGACUGAGCGGCGGACGGGUGAGUAACGCGUGGGUAACCUGCCUCAUACAGGGGGAUAACAGUUAGAAAUGACUGCUAAUACCGCAUAAGACCCCAGCUUCGCAUGAAGCGGUGGUAAAAACUCCGGUGGUAUGAGAUGGACCCGCGUCUGAUUAGCUAGUUGGUAAGGUAACGGCUUACCAAGGCGACGAUCAGUAGCCGACCUGAGAGGGUGACCGGCCACAUUGGGACUGAGACACGGCCCAGACUCCUACGGGAGGCAGCAGUGGGGAAUAUUGCACAAUGGGGGAAACCCUGAUGCAGCGACGCCGCGUGAAGGAUGAAGUAUUUCGGUAUGUAAACUUCUAUCAGCAGGGAAGAAAGUGACGGUACCUGACUAAGAAGCCCCGGCUAACUACGUG
rnacentral:rRNA from 1 species